UAGGGAAUCUUGCGCAAUGGGCGAAAGCCUGACGCAGCGACGCCGCGUGCGGGAUGAAGGCCUUCGGGUCGUAAACCGCUUUCAGCAGGGACGAAAUUGACGGUACCUGCAGAAGAAGGCCCGGCCAACUACGUGCCAGCAGCCGCGGUGAUACGUAGGGGUCUAGCGUUGUCCGGAAUCAUUGGGCGUAAAGAGCUCGUAGGCGGUUCAGUUAGUCAGGUGUGAAAUCUCCACGCUCAACGUGGAGGGGCCACCUGAUACUGCUGUGACUCGAGUCCGGUAGGGGAGUUCGGAAUUCCCGGUGUAGCGGUGAAAUGCGCAGAUAUCGGGAGGAACACCAGUGGCGAAGGCGGAACUCUGGGCCGGAACUGACGCUGAGGAGCGAAAGCGUGGGGAGCGAACAGGAUUAGAUACCCGUGUAGU
rnacentral:rRNA from 1 species